rnacentral:rRNA from 1 species
GACGAACGCUGGCGGCGUGCUUAACACAUGCAAGUCGAACGGAAAGGCCCUGCUUUUGUGGGGUGCUCGAGUGGCGAACGGGCGAGUAACACGUGAGUAACCUGCCCUUGACUUUGGGAUAACUUCAGGAAACUGGGGCUAAUACCGGAUAGGAGCUCCUGCUGCAUGGUGGGGGUUGGAAAGCUUCGGCGGUUGGGGAUGGACUCGCGGCUUAUCAGCUUGUUGGUGGGGUAGUGGCUUACCAAGGCUUUGACGGGUAGCCGGCCUGAGAGGGUGACCGGCCACAUGGGGACUGAGAUACGACCCAGACUCCUACGGGAGGCAGCAGUGGGGAAUAUUGCACAAUGGGCGGAAGCCUGAUGCAGCAACGCCGCGUGCGGGAUGACGGCCUUCGGGUUGUAAACCGCUUUCGCCUGUGACGAAGCGUGAGUGACGGUAAUGGGUAAAGAAGCACCGGCUAACUACGUG